rnacentral:misc_RNA from 1 species
AAAAAAAAAAAAAAAAAAGAAAGGCAGUUUCUUUGUGUGGGAACUGUAAUUUGGCAGCAACCCUCCUUGAAUCUUCGAUUAGCCGCCAUAAUUUCGCUUCCUUACAAAACCUCUACUUUUUCCACGUUCGCUCAGAACUUUUCCAUCGCUUUUUCCCGAGAAACAAAGAUGGCCUUUCGCUCCUCCCUCUUACGCCUCAGAUCGCAUCUCCUCUGCACCACCAGCAGCAGCAGCAGCAGGUUUUUCCAGUCUAAUUCUCCAAUCCUAUCCACCAUCAAAUCUGAACGUUUGCUUCUCUUCCCUCUUUCAGAUCUCCAUGCAAUCUCUAUGGAAUUUCCCUCACUCGCCGGUCUCCGAUUCUUCUCCACCGCCCGACGUCACCCUACCCGGCCGAAGAACGUCGACAUAGGGGCCCGAGCCCGUCAACUCCAAACACGCCGCCUCUGGACCUAUGCUUUGACGUUCAGUUGCAUCGCGGGUUUUAUCGUUAUCGUUUUAAACAACUUUCAAGAUCAAUUAGUGUUUUACGUGACCCCAACAGAUGCCAUGGAAAAAUACAAAGCGAACCCACAAAAGAGCAAAUUCAGAUUAGGUGGUUUAGUUCUCGAAGGAAGCGUGGUUCAACCCGUUUCUUCGCCUGAAAUGGAGUUUGUAAUUACAGAUUUGGUCACUGAUAUUUUGGUCCGGUAUCAGGGAUCGCUGCCCGACUUGUUUAGAGAAGGGCAUUCGGUGGUGGUCGAAGGGUUUGUGAAACCAUUCACGGAGGAGUUAAGGAAGGAGGUGGGAGCGAGAAGCGUUUCAGGGAAAGCUAGGAGCGGGAAGUGUUACUUCUCUGCUACGGAGGUUUUGGCUAAGCAUGAUGAGAAGUAUAUGCCUAAGGAGGUGGCGGCGGCAAUUGAAAAGAAUAAACAGCGAAUUGAAGCUGGUGAAGGAAGAGAAGAGGAACAUGUAAACUAAUUGGUACUAUUCUAAUUUUGAUUAAUUGAUUCUAUUCUAUAGUUGAAGGCAGAGGAUUGACGGCUACAAUUUGAAUUUUUAUAAUUUAGUGACAUUUGGUUUUUGAGAUACACAUUUAUAUGAAGCAGGAGGAAUGAUUGAUUAUAAUUGGCUAGUUGAAUUUUGUUCUUCACAAUUGUUCAGGCAAUACUCAUUGGUUUUGAGCGAGAGAUAAUUCGAUCAUUUGACGCUACUACUAUUCUUGUUUUUUGAUGUUGUAAUUUCACAUUCAUUCAUGAGUUGACCUUAUAAUUAAUUUGAGUAAGGAAUAAUUCCACUGAGGAAUAUACAUGUAGAUUAAUGAAUCUGCCACAGAUUUUGAAAACUUUUGCAAUAUCUUUUGGAAGGAAAUUAUAGAAAUUUCAUAUUUGUUUUAUGGAAAUGAUUCGAAUUGUGUUUUUGUGUAUGAUUGAUUUGAGAUGUGGAAUGGAUUGAUA